GACGUAGGUGGCGAGCGUUGUCCGGAUUUACUGGGCGUAAAGAGCUCGUAGGCGGCUUGGCAAGUCGGAUGUGAAAUCACCAGGCUCAACCUGGUGGCGCCAUCCGAUACUGCCAUGGCUUCGAGUCCGGUAGAGGACCGUGGAAUUCCUGGUGUAGCGGUGAAAUGCGCAGAUAUCAGGAGGAACACCGAUGGCGAAGGCAGCGGUCUGGGCCGGCACUGACGCUGAGGAGCGAAAGCGUGGGGAGCCAACAGG
rnacentral:rRNA from 1 species